rnacentral:rRNA from 1 species
UAAAAAGCUCGUAGUUGGAUUUCGGGGCGGCCCGGCCGGUCCGCCGCAAGGCGAGCACUGGUCGGGCGCCCUUCCUCUCGAAGGCUUCGACUGCUCUUGAUUGUUGUGGUCGAGGAGUUCGGGACGUUUACUUUGAAAAAAUUAGAGUGUUCAAGGCAGGCCGUGGCCUGAAUACAUUAGCAUGGAAUAAUGGAAGAGGACCUCGGUCCUAUUUUGUUGGUUUCCAGGGCCGAAGUAAUGAUUGAGAGGGACAGUUGGGGGCAUUCGUAUUUAAUUGUCAGAGGUGAAAUUCUCGGAUUUAUGAAAGACGAACAAGUGCGAAAGCAUUUUCCAAGGAUGUUUUCAUUAAUCAAGAACGAAAGUUGGGGGUUCGAAGACGAUCAGAUACCGUCGUAGUCCCAACCAUAAACUAUGCCGACUAGGGAUCGGCGGAUGUUAGCGUCUGACUCCGUCGGCACCUUACGAGAAAUCAAGAGUCUUUGGGUUC